AUAAUAAAAUUGGUGCCAGCAGUCGCGGUUACACCAAUAAUACAAAUAAAUUUUUUUAGUGUUAGUUAAAUUGAUUUUUUAAAAUAAAAUUAAAUAUAUUAAGUGAAAUUUUAUAUUUAAAAUAUUUUUUAUUAUAAUAAUUGAAGCUAAAAAAUUUUAGUAAAAAACUAGGAUUAGAUACCCUAUUAUUUAAAAUGUAAUUUGUUCACUAAAGUAGUAAUAGUUAUGUUCUUGAAACUUAAAAAAUUUGGCGGUAUUUUAGUCUAUCCAGAGGAACCUGUUUUGUAAUCGAUAAUCCACGAUGGACCUUACUUAAAUUUGUAAUCAGUUUAUAUACCGUCGUUAUCAGAAUAUUUUAUAAGAAUAAUAAUAUUCAAUAAUUUUUAUUAAAAUUUAUAUCAGAUCAAGGUGUAGCUUAUAUUUAAGUAAUAAUGGGUUACAAUAAAAUUAUUUAAACGAAUAAAACUAUGAAAACGUUUUUGAAGGUGGAUUUGGUAGUAAAAUUAUAAAGAUUAAUAGUUUGAUUUUAGCUCUAAAAUAUGUACACAUCGCCCGUCGCUCUUAUUAUUAAGGUAAGAUAAGUCGUAACAUAGUAGAUGUACUGGAAAGUGUAUCUAGAAUGACAAUUUAAAGCUUAUUAAGUAAAGCAUUUCAUUUACAUUGAAAAGAUUUUUGUGCAAAUCAAUAUAAAUUGAUUAGAUUUUAUUUAUUAAUUAUUAAUAUUAAAUUUUAAAAUAUUAGAAAUAACUAUAAAUUUAAGUGUUUUAGUAUUGUUUAAAGAAAAAAUAAUUUUAAUAAUAGUGUAAUAGUAUUGUGAAAGAAAAUUGAAAUAAUUUGAAAAAUUUUUAUUAUAAAAGAAAAUUUAAUUUAUUGUACCUUGUGUAUCAGCGUUUAUUAAAUAAAAAAUAAAUAUUUAUUUUUCUCGAUUUUAAAAGAGUUAAUAUAAUAUAUAAGUUAAUGUGACAAAAUUAUUUAAAAUAUUAUAUUAGAAAUGAAAUGUUAUUCGUUUUUAAAGGUAUCUAGUUUUUCAAGAAAUAAAUUUAAUUUAGAAAUUAUAAAUUUAUUUAAUUAUUUAAAAAAUUAAAUAAUUUAUAAUUUUAAUAUUUUAUGGGAUAAGCUAUAAAAUAAAUUUUUAAAAAUAAUAAAUAAAUUUAAUAAAUAUAUGCUUAGAAUUAGCAAUUAUUAAAAAAUUUGUUAUAAUUUAUUUUAUAAAUUAAAUUAUUUAUUAAAUUUUAAUUAUUUAUUGAAAUAUUAAUUUUAAUUAAUAAAAUUAAGAAAUAAUGAUAGAAUUAGUAUAUUUUUAUGUAAAAAUAAAUUUUAAUGAUAAGUUUAAAUAAAGAAUUCGGCAAAAAUAAUGUUCGCCUGUUUAACAAAAACAUGUCUUUUUGAAUUAAAUAUAAAGUCUAACCUGCCCACUGAAAAUUUUUAAAUGGCCGCAGUAUUCUGACUGUGCAAAGGUAGCAUAAUCAUUAGUCUUUUAAUUGAAGGCUGGAAUGAAUGGUUGGACGAAAUAUUAACUGUUUCAUUUAAAUUUUUUAUAGAAUUUUAUUUUUUAGUCAAAAAGCUAAAAUAAAUUUAAAAGACGAGAAGACCCUAUAAAUCUUUAUAUUUUAUUUAUUUUAAUUAUAAAGAUUAUUUUAAUUUUAAUAAAAUAAAAUAUUUUAUUGGGGUGAUAUUAAAAUUUAAAAAACUUUUAAUUUAUAAAAACAUUAAUUUAUGAAUUGUUGAUCCAUUAAUAAUGAUUAAAAAAUUAAGUUACUUUAGGGAUAACAGCGUAAUUUUUUUGGAGAGUUCAUAUCGAUAAAAAAGAUUGCGACCUCGAUGUUGGAUUAAGAUAUAAUUUUGGGUGUAGCCGUUCAAAUUUUAAGUCUGUUCGACUUUUAAAUUCUUACAUGAUCUGAGUUCAAACCGGUGUAAGCCAGGUUGGUUCUUAUCUUUAAAAAAUUAUAAUAUUUUAGCACA